AAAAAGGAAGGAGGGGAGAAGCACUUCUUUCGAGACCGAUACGAGACCUAGCAACAGUGGCGGACCAAUCAGCCGACAGUCUUGUUAUUAUGCUUCUUUUUCACCCCCUCACGGAACAUCCGAGUUGAUGGCUGACAAGGAAGACGAGGGUGGAGGGAAGAAAAAAGCUUUUUGCUCUUCGGUAUGUGAGAGAGAGAGAGAGAGAUGCUCUUUUGUUCCACACACACACGGAGGUUUCAUCUGGUGCCAGAGGGUGUUGGAGCUUAAGAGGAUUCUUUUUCCCUGUAUACCCCUCGUCGUGUGUGCCUAUACAGCUAAUUCCUCUAUUUCAAAUGCCAAAAUAAAUACAGACAAACAUAAACAAGGUCAUGAAGUCCGUUCAAGUAAAACUCCAUUACCUUAAAGUCACCAUUUGGCCGGUUUUUGAAAAAAAAAUUCACUGUUUAACGAUAUACGCACACUCAUUCGGCGAUACACCACAUUCCACAGCGGACAUGUCUGGAAACGUUCACUGAAUUUUUUUUCCCCCAGACAAGUCGGAGCCCAGACGGUUCUUCACCGUUGAAAACAGAAUUUUGGGUUUUCACGAAAGUUAAACGUGAAAAUGUUACAGUAGCCAUCAUUCUAAACUAACCAAAUAACUAUCAGCUUAAUAAAAAGGUAAAUUUUGAUAACGUGGAAUAAAAACAUUUCCCUUUUUCAUCCAGUUGGUGGCCAUUUUCCUUUUUUUUUGGUGAGUGUGUGAGGAAAAUCGAUUGGCCUAAGAAGAGAAGGAUUGCUGUUUUGUUAUUUUCUUCUGGAACACCAAGUUUCUCUAAUGAACAAGGUCCUUGAUGACUAUUUGCCACCAUAACAGUAGUACGAUAUCCUACACUUUGGCAACAAUGCAAUUUCAUUGUAAAAAGAAAGAAAAAAAAGAGGGAAAACCUUGGUGGGCAGUUAUUUUGCCUAUUGUAAAAAAGAGAGAGAAAGAGAAGAAAAAAAAAAGAGAAACAUGUUGCAACGAAUGACUUCUUAAGUUGGGAGAGCUCCUGAAUCUGACAGAAUGAAAUCUAAUCGCAGUCGAAUGCUAUUUCGGCAUCGGUGCGGAACACGACCCAAGAGAAUUGAGCUCAAUCAGCUAAACGGUGGGAAUGCAACGAAUCGUCAACCAACACACACAGGCAAGGAAAAGAAAACUUUUUUGUUAACAAAUUUCGUUUUUUUUUAAAGGAAACAUUUUAAAAUAAUGGAAGCAUUAAGAUGGCGGGGGAGAGAGGAAAAUAAUGUUGGGGAAAAGUCAACGCCCUCGAAAGAUACACGUGUGGCGUAUCAAUAAAAACUCCUCUUUUUAUCUCCAUUUUUUUUCAAGGCUGUUACUUUCGAAAGCAGAGAGGUGAAUGAAUAUUCAAUUGAAUCGUCUACUGGUGUGUGCUUGCUUGCAUGCAAUACGAGUGUGUUCGGGGGGGAGUGUCUCAUUUGUACGGAUUUUUUUCUUUCCAAUACGACGUGAUCGCGUUAUUUCUUGCUGGAAUUCCUUUCGACAGCUGGCGAUUUCCAGAUUGAUGUUUUUGCGGUUGGAAAAUUCUUUUUUCCCUCUCUGAAACUGUCGAGACCAACAUCGAUUGAUGCACUUGCAGACGCAUGUAUGGUCAUCAAACAUUUCUCUUUUUUUGUGAAAACAAGAAAAGUUCCACCACUGUAAAAACUUUUGGCAGACACACAGACUCUCUUGGCAAAAGUUGGUACAAAAAAAAAAGCUUUUCGCCUUUUUAUGGGUGUGGCCGACGGAGACAUUGCAUGUGCUUUGAAUUUAUCGUACUGUGUACCAGCAGUCAUAGAGUUACGUAACUCAUGUACCUAGAGCGCCGCAAGACGUCGCUUGCGACAAUCCCAGACGUUCUUGUUCUGUCGCUUCUCAAAAUGAACAUCUCGGCCACGAAUAUGACAUCAAAAGUACCAAUCAGACCUCUCAUCUAAGAUACUUAGCCAAGAAAAAAGAUGCUAGCGCAAAAAAAAAUAAAUAAAAAGUAUAUGUCUUACCAAUAUCGGCGAUGCUUCCUGUUUUGCCGCAGAACCCCGGCAUAGCCCUAUCGAUCGGUCGCCUCCGACGACGUCAGUAACCUCUAGACGAGCUCAUGGUCACGUGAUCGAUACACGAAAGGAACACUUUUACAGCCAAGCUCUGGGGCUUUACGGCCUUGACGAGCGUUGAGGCGGUUCCAACUUCGUUGGUAUUUCUUUUUUUCUGUCGGUCGAGAGUGGCUAACGUCUCGACGAUGGACGUCGAUGUUUGGUGCAAGAAAAAAAAAAAAUCCCGUCUUUUAUCUUGGACCGUGACGCCAGACGCAUUUUUUUCCCGGUCAAGGUCGGAUCAAUGACGCUCAGCGCUAUCAAUUCACGCAUCAUCCCGAAUGGAAAAAUUUUUGUGUAGCGCAUAAAGAGCGAGGAGGGAAAGAGAACCAGACAAAAGAAGACUUGUCGGGUUAACUCUCUCCCCCUCUGUGUUCAACCCCAACGGGGUGUCCAUAAGGGGUCAGGCCUCUCCCAUUUAUGAUUGAGAGAGAGCCGGAGGGGGACUUCUCUCUUCUGACGUAAAACCGUUGGUGUUAUUAUUUAAAAAUAUAAAUGGAACCCUACAACAGUGUAGGACGUACUGCACAGGACCCCCUCUAAACCCUCCCUCUUUCCUCCUCUUCUAUGUCUGGCAACCGUCUAGACAGUCCGGUUGCUGUAUAGUACUAAAGGAGCAGCAGCACUGAAAUAAACACACACACACAAGCGAACAAUUUGACAAAAAGCAAGGACUUUUUUCGUUCUUGUUGGCUCUCAACCAGAUGUCUACGCGUCGCCCAGCCCUUUUCGCACAACAUCCGCACAGACGACGCCAUUAAAACCAGCAGACGGGAAAUCGAAAUAGGCAAAGUCCAUUCACGAAAAAGAGGGGAAAAAAACCCCCUCAAAAAUUCAUUAAAAACUUCCGGUACUAAUGUAAAGCAAAUGACAUUCUUCGUGAUCCAUCUUACAAAAUAUAACAGAUACGAGAUGUA